ACAAAUCUGCCGCUUUGUAACUAGAACAAAUAUCGCAGUUCUGUGCCAAAGUGCUUUUCACUUAUUAGUGGUGUUUUGGAGAGCCGUGUACCUUACACCCAAUCGAUCCGCUUUAGAUUUACAAUUAGAUUCAGUUUAAAGAAUUGCGAUAUCCUUUCUCACUGCAGAGUUAAGAGUUGUAAACUUGAUUGUUAAGUUUGCUUGAAUUAACCCUUUAUUGCACCUUGUUGCAUUUACGCAACAUUGCGAUGAACGGCGUUAAAAACAGAAGCAAAGGCCGUUUGGAGCUGCCUGUACACGUUGUUGCAUAUCCGCAACAUUCGCCUAAAAAACGCGCCGCUUUGUGCUGCCAUCUGUGGUCAUCCUUCGCAUCUUUCCUUCUUGUACUCUGAACAUCUCCUGUGGCGUUGACAAACGCCUGCCCUGAGUCAAAAGGGAUCAGGACCACUUACUUACUUACUUACUUACUAUCUUCUACCAAAACAAACGUGGCGGAGGCUGGGCGCACCCGGGAGCAGUGAGUGAUACAGGUAAGUUUUGACAAUUGUAUAUGUAUUUCCCCAUACGAGAAAGCGCAAAAAAAAAAAAAAAAAUUCAACGCUCAGCUACACAUCCUCCUGAUUCUGUGGAUAAAAAAAAAGAAAAAACAUUGUUAUCUCGGAAUAGUUUGUUCCUGGCGACGGAACGUUGCUAUGUUGCGCAAAUGCAACAACGUGUACAUGGUUUAUUUUCUUCGGGAAAGUCAAAUGGCUCCGAAACGCUUUCAUGGCCGAGCAAUUCCUCCUGAUAGUGAAGGCAGCGACCUUUGCAGGAAAGACGACAACGGCGAGUGAAUCUGCAUGACGUGCUGCACGAAGUGUGGGAACCACCUGCAGUGCACAAGCACAAGUACAAGUGCUUCUUUUUGUUCCACACUGAAUCGAACCUGUCUGGGCUGAUGCGCAUUAUCGACGUACAUCCUCUCUGGACUCAAAAUUUGUGGUCCUUGAAUUUGCUAUCUACGUCAAAGAAUGGCACAUAUACCAGAUGAGGCGGUGAUAGGGCAGCAGGACACAAUCGAGACUGAAGAAGGGCCCGAGGACUCGCGCUCCAAUGACGCCGGAUGGAGUCCACCGCCACUUGCUCUUGGUGGACUACUCUGGACUGCCGCGUCGAAUGCCAUGUGACGCCUUGCUCGCCAUCCUGGGAUGAAAUUUCUUUAAAAUAAAGUGUUGUGCUGUUCUUUAGAAUCGA